rnacentral:rRNA from 1 species
GGGGAGCAAACAGGAUUAGAUACCCUGGUAGUCCACGCCGUAAACGAUGUCGACUUGGAGGUUGUGCCCUUGAGGCGUGGCUUCCGGAGCUAACGCGUUAAGUCGACCGCCUGGGGAGUACGGCCGCAAGGUUAAAACUCAAAUGAAUUGACGGGGGCCCGCACAAGCGGUGGAGCAUGUGGUUUAAUUCGAUGCAACGCGAAGAACCUUACCUGGUCUUGACAUCCACGGAAGUUUUCAGAGAUGAGAAUGUGCCUUCGGGAACCGUGAGACAGGUGCUGCAUGGCUGUCGUCAGCUCGUGUUGUGAAAUGUUGGGUUAAGUCCCGCAACGAGCGCAACCCUUAUCCUUUGUUGCCAGCGGUCCGGCCGGGAACUCAAAGGAGACUGCCAGUGAUAAACUGGAGGAAGGUGGGGAUGACGUCAAGUCAUCAUGGCCCUUACGACCAGGGCUACACACGUGCUACAAUGGCGCAUACAAAGAGAAGCGACCUCGCGAGAGCAAGCGGACCUCAUAAAGUGCGUCGUAGUCCGGAUUGGAGUCUGCAACUCGACUCCAUGAAGUCGGAAUCGCUAGUAAUCGUGGAUCAGAAUGCCACGGUGAAUACGUUCCCGGGCCUUGUACACACCGCCCGUCACACCAUGGGAGUGGGUUGCAAAAGAAGUAGGUAGCUUAACCUUCGGGAGGGCGCUUACCACUUUGUGAUUCAUGACUGGGGUGAAGUCGUAACAAGGUAACCGUAGGGGAACCUGCGGUUGGAUCACCU